rnacentral:lncRNA from 1 species
CUUGAGUUGCUUAGCUGGGUUCUGAGGCUUCCCUAGAUCUUUAGCUGUAGCAGCUCCUGCCUCUUUCAGAACCGAUGCAAGCUCUGCGUUUCCUAUCCUCUCUGCAACAUCGAGUGGCGUAUCUCCAGCUUUGUUUAUUGGGUUGAGGUUAAUGCCUUCAAAAGAUAGCAAACACCGCACUAUCUGCACAGAAGAAAGAUCCUUCCAUCAUGUGAAUCCCUUCUAUUACAUGAUUGAGAAAAGCUAAGUAAAGAGUUACUACUACCUUGAUACGGCCCUUGUUAGUGGCAAUGUGCAAUGGCGUGUUCCCUUUGUUAUCCUCAACGCUCAAAACAGCAACAUCAGGCUUCACCAACUCAACAACGAUCCCAUCGUUUUGACCUUUAACAGCCAUGUGAAGAGCAGUUUGUCCCUUUUUAUCAGUUCUAAACCCAAUGCUUGGAUCAUUACCCAUCAGAGACUUAUGACAUCACCAGGACCUCUAGAUAGCGUAAUCCGAACGGAUUUGUCUCAAAAGGGGAAUACUUACGCCCGGCAGGACAGUGUUAAGAUCUUGAUUGGUACCUGGAAUGUUGGUGAAGGACGAGCUUCAAGGGGAGCGCUUAUGUCUUGGCUGGGCUCUGAUGUGUCAGAUGUUGGCAUUGUAGCUGUGGGGUUGCAGGAGGUGGAUAUGGGGGCGGGUUUUCUUGCCAUGUCUACUGCUAAGGAAACGGUAACUCCUGUUUGAGCUAUUUACUCAUGACUAAUUUUUUGCCUGCGUUUGUUUGGUUUAAGUCGGCUCAUCUUUGUGUUCCGGUCGCAGGUAGGGGUUGAAGGAAGUGUUGUGGGGAAAUGGUGGAUUGAUGCAAUUGGAAAUGCACUGGAUGAGAGAAACACUUUCGAACGUAUGGGUUCAAGGCAAUUAGCGGGACUGCUAAUAUCUCUUUGGUAUGCAAAUAAUUCAUUCCGGACAAGUUACAUUUUUUUUGUCUUUCUCUAUUGAUUGCAUACCAGACAACAGUCUUUUGCUUUCCUUACAUAGCACCCAAAGUCUUUCACCCGUCUUAAGAGUUUUGAGCUAUAUCAUAUGUCUAGGUUAACCAUUAUUUUGUCUCCUCAUGUCUUAUAACUUUCUGCUUAGGGUGAGGAAGGAUAUUAGAACACAUGUCGGAGAUCUUGAUGUUGCAGCAGUUCCAUGUGGCUUUGGCCGCGCCAUUGGCAACAAGGUCUGUUUUUAUAGCUAUGUUUCACUUAGUUCCAUCUAAUACAAGAUCAGUUAGCUUGAUGUCUGUUUCAAGAAUCUUCUGAUCAAUUAGUCUGAUAUUGGAAUUUCUCUUACUGACCUCAGUUGAGGGUGAGUCGUCAUUGUUGAUCAGACUAAUGAUCCUACGUUGUUAAGAACAGGGAGGUGUGGGCUUGAGAAUCAGAGUUUAUGAUCGGAUCAUGUGCUUUGUGAACUGUCACUUGGCUGCUCACUUGGAGGCAGUUACUCGGAGAAACGCCGAUUUCAAUCACAUAUAUCGGUCAAUGGUCUUCUCCAAAGGACAAAGUUUAUAUACUGUUCCAGCUGGUAUAGAACCAUACCUGUUUUUUGUCUUGCUCAUUUGGCUUCUGAUUUUGGCUGCUUUAUUCUUCUGCCUUACCAUUGACUCUCUCUUGCAGCCGGUGCUUCAUCAUCUACCCAAGCACAAAAGAAUAACACUGUAUGAACUUAUCCUAUUAGCGCACUAGUUACAGAAUCUAACAUUUUUUUGUUCUCGAGCUUUUGGUGUGUGUCCCUUCUAAUGUUAUUGUUCUUUUUCUUUGUUUCCAAGAAUACAAACAUCAUCACUGAAGAGGAGAAAUCUGAUUUAGCAGCAGCAGACUUUGUUGCAUUUUUUGGUGACUUCAACUAUAGGUUGUUUGGUAUAACCUACGACGAGGCGAGGGACUUCAUUUCACACCGAUCAUUUGAUUGGCUCAGAGAGAAAGACCAACUGAGGGCAGAGAUGAGUGAAGGAAAAGUGUUCCAAGGAAUGCGUGAGGCAUUGAUCACCUUUCCACCAACUUACAAAUUUGAAAAGAAUAAGCCAGGCCUUGGAGGUAAACGAUAGAUUUGAAAUUCUCUGCAAACUUAUCCUCAUUGCUCAAGAACAUAUCAUUGCUUGUAAAAAGAGAAAAAAAUGGACUAAGUAAUUAAACUCUGCGCUGUUUCUAUCUCCAGGGUAUGAUUCAGGGGAGAAAAAGCGUAUACCUGCGUGGUGUGACAGAGUUAUAUACAGAGAUAACCAAUCAACCCCAUUUUGCGAGUGCAAUUUGCAGUGUCCUGUAGUUUCUUGUACUGUAAUGUAAUGUUCCAUCACACAAUCUCAUGAUCUUCUUUCACCUUUCGGCUUUCUCACCGUCCUAUGCAUUGUGUUAACAGGUAUGAAGCUUGCAUGGAUGUGACUGAGAGUGAUCACAAACCUGUGCGCUGCAAACUUCAUGCUAACAUAGCUCACACCGAUAAAUCUGUGCGAAGACAGGAGCUGGGGAAAAUAAUAAAGUCUAGUGAGAAACUCAGAACCAUGUUCGAGGAGCUAAGAUACGUUCCGGAAACAUCAGUGAGCACAAACAGUAUUCUUCUUCAGAGUCAGGACACGUUCAUCUUUUCAAUCACAAACAAGUCAAACUCGAGUAGAGCCCUCUUCAACAUCGUCUGCAAGGGUCAGACUGUUGUUAGAGAUGAUGGAGGCACCUUUGGUCUCCCUCGCUGGCUCGAGGUUAUUAAUUAUUCUCUUCUUUGUCACUAAUUGCUCUCUUUCUUCCUUUUAGAGAUCACAAAACUAAAUGAUCAGAUAACUAUUUAUGUAGGUUUCUCCGGGAGCUGGUAUGAUAAAACCAGAUGCUUCUGUACAGGUGAAAGUUCAUCAUGAAGACUCUAACACCUCAGAUGAGUCCUUUGAUGGCAUCCAGCAACAAAACUCAUCGUGUGAAGAAGCUUGUGACAAAGAAGUGACCCUGAUGGUAAUCAUCCAGGGAAGCUGCUCGACCAGAACAACAAGCCACUCUAUCAAAGUCCGCUACUGCUUCUCAGCAGCCAAAUCAGUUAAUCUCGCUUAUUCCAAACCCAAACCCAACAACGCCACAAAAAAUAAUCAAGAAGGUUCCACUCGUUACCAGCCAGAGAGUUACCGCGGUGGGAGCACCAGACGGGGUUGAAGAUGAUGAUUCCUGCUAACAUCACACUAUAGCUAGACCUUAGAAGCCAUCUAAAGAUAUGCAUCUAAACCAGACCCAGUAGGAGAUCAAGUUUUAUAAUAUUCACAACUAAGAUUCUGAGUUAUCAUCAGGUUAUGGUUUCUUCAAUUCUCGUUCUUUGAUUCGUUUAAAUAUCAGAAAAGUGUAUAUUGCGUUGAUACUUCAUUGAACUCAUUACAAAUCUGUUUUUCUACUCGAGAAACUCUGAAAAAAUAUCGAAUAGCAACGGUUUACAGGUACAAAAUACAAGUAUAUACUGGUUAUUCUUACAUGAUGAGACUCUCCUGUCCAAAUUGGUUGUUCAUAGUGCAUACAUUCUCUUGUUGUAUUCACCAUUUAGAAUCUCUGAAUCAGAAGGCAUACGAGACAUAGAGAAGGACUGAGACUUGCUUCUCUCUUUCCUUAUGCUCUUUAACUUAGAUUCCUCCACCCUAUGCAUGAUCACACAGUAACACAUGGCACCGAUCGUUGUCAACAUGAUGGUGCCGCCAAUGACAGUUGCACAUACAGCCAACCACAUCUCCUCUUUGCCCACAACAAUGUAAGAGAGGGAAACAAAGGCAAUGGAUAUGAACAGACAAGCACACCACAUGAGCUUGUUGAUCACAAAGACAAGCUUCUUCUUUGCCUUUUCCUCAAUCACAACAACUGAAGUCUGCACAACAACAACAGCUAAGGAUAUAAAAAGUGCCAAGCUGUCAAAGAUGAAGAAGACCAGAAACGGUGCUUUGUUCGCUAUAUGAGCUUGUCCUAGCAAAUCUCCUUUGGACCGGUCUUCUUCAUAUUGUCCGGGGAUUGUGAAGAUGGCUGCGAAAGCCACCGUGGCGAUAAGCACAGCCACGACAGUUGCCGAGUUUAUAGCGUUGUUUAGACCGCUAAUGUGAAGCUUCUUGAGUCUCUUUGCUAUCUUCUGGGCUCUUACACCGGUUUGCCUAGACUGCUGAAGCUGAGAUUGCACCUCGUGCUUAAUGUCACUGACCGUUUGCUUGAGUUGCUUAGCUGGGUUCUGAGGCUUCCCUAGAUCUUUAGCUGUAGCAGCUCCUGCCUCUUUCAGAACCGAUGCAAGCUCUGCGUUUCCUAUCCUCUCUGCAACAUCGAGUGGCGUAUCUCCAGCUUUGUUUAUUGGGUUGAGGUUAAUGCCUUCAAAAGAUAGCAAACACCGCACUAUCUGCACAGAAGAAAGAUCCUUCCAUCAUGUGAAUCCCUUCUAUUACAUGAUUGAGAAAAGCUAAGUAAAGAGUUACUACUACCUUGAUACGGCCCUUGUUAGUGGC